rnacentral:rRNA from 1 species
GGUGAACGCUGGCGGCGUGCCUAAGACAUGCAAGUCGAGCGGGGCAGGUUUAUACCUGUUCAGCGGCGGACGGGCGAGUAACGCGUGGGUGACCUACCCGGCAGAGGCGGACAACCUGGGGAAACCCAGGCUAAUCCGCCAUGUGGUCCUGUCCUGUGGGGCAGGACUAUAGGGGCGACCCGCUUCCGGAUGGGCCCGCGUCCCAUCAGCUAGUUGGUGGGGUAAAGGCCCACCAAGGCGACGACGGGUAGCCGGUCUGAGAGGAUGGCCGGCCACAGGGGCACUGGGACACGGGCCCCACUCCUACGGGAGGCAGCAGUUAGGAAUCUUCCGCAAUGGACGGAAGUCUGACGGAGCGACGCCGCUUGGAGGAGGAAGCCCUUCGGGGUGUAAACUCCUGAACUGGGGACGAAAGCCCCGUGUAGGGGGAUGACGGUACCCAGGUAAUAGCGCCGGCCAACUCCGUG